rnacentral:rRNA from 1 species
AACGAACGCUGGCGGCAGGCUUAACACAUGCAAGUCGAACGCCCCGCAAGGGGAGUGGCAGACGGGUGAGUAACGCGUGGGAAUCUACCCAUCUCUAGGGGAUAACACAGAGAAAUUUGUGCUAAUACCCUAUACGUCCUCCGGGAGAAAGAUUUAUCGGGGAUGGAUGAGCCCGCGUAGGAUUAGCUAGUUGGUGGGGUAAUGGCCCACCAAGGCGACGAUCCUUAGCUGGUCUGAGAGGAUGACCAGCCACACUGGGACUGAGACACGGCCCAGACUCCUACGGGAGGCAGCAGUGGGGAAUAUUGGACAAUGGGCGCAAGCCUGAUCCAGCCAUGCCGCGUGAGUGAUGACGGCCUUAGGGUUGUAAAGCUCUUUCACCCACGACGAUAAUGACGGUAGUGGGAGAAGAAGCCCCGGCUAACUUCGUGCCAGCCGCCGCGGUAAAAC